GAGUGACCCACCGGUCCAAUCACAGGCUUCGUCAUUAGGACGUCCUCAAACGUCUGGCCACAUCCGGUCGUAUAUAUGUUGCCACGAGUUAGCGGCGAAUUUGGAGAGUGUCCAUUUUGAGCAGCGAGUCGGCGUCUCCGGUUUAUCCCCCUUUAAAUCUUCUCGAAGAGCCCACCGUCAGAAUGGCAGACGCCGAGACUCUCCUCAUGGAGACAUCAGACCAGAACGGCAACGAGGGAGACGAGGACCAGAACGGAGCCGAGCAGGAGCUGAUGAUCGGAGAGGAAUGCCAGGAUAGUCAGGACGGUCAAGACGAGCAGGACGACCAGGACGGGCAGGACAGCCAGGACAACGGCACGGAUGGAGGCAAAAUCGAUGCCAGCAAAGGAGAGGAGGACGCUGGUAAAAUGUUCGUGGGCGGCCUCAGCUGGGACACGAGUAAAAAAGACCUGAAGGAUUACUUCAGCAAGUUCGGCGAGGUGUCAGACUGCACCAUCAAGAUGGACUCCAACACCGGCCGGUCCCGAGGCUUCGGCUUCGUUCUCUUCAAAGAUUCCUCCAGCGUCGACAAGGUACUGGAGCAGAAGGAUCACAGACUGGACGGACGUCCAAUUGACCCCAAGAAGGCGAUGGCAAUGAAGAAGGAACCCGUCAAGAAGAUCUUUGUUGGGGGGUUGAUCCCCGAGGCAACAGAGGACACCAUCAGGGAAUAUUUUGGUGCUUUUGGAGAGAUUGAAACAAUUGAGCUUCCCAUUGACCCCAAGUCAAAGAAAAGGAGGGGCUUCAUCUUCAUCACAUACAAAGAUGAAGCCAGCGUCAAGAAGUGUCUGGAGAAGAAAUACCACAACAUCCAGGGCAGCAGGUGCGAGCUGAAGAUCGCCCAGCCCAAGGAGGUGUACCAACAGCAGCAGUAUGGAGCGGGACGUGGUGGCGGAUAUGGUGGCCGGGGAGGAGGCAGGGGUGGACGUGGAGGUCAGAACCAGGGCUGGAACCAGGGCUACGGAAACUACUGGAACCAGGGAUAUGGUAACCAAGGCUAUGGCUAUGGUGGAUACAGCGGCUAUGGUAACUACGACUACUCUUCUGGUUACUAUGGAUACGGUCCUGGAUAUGAUUACAACCAGGGCAAUGCCAGCUACGGGAAAACCCCAAGGCGGGGAGCACACCAGACCAGCUACAAGCCCUACUGAUGAUCACAUGGUAGUGUAAGCACAGACUGCGGGCCAGACGUAGAAGCUGGGUCCACGAAAUAAACCAAGCCAGAACACAACUGGGAGAGUAUCAUAGGACGCCAGUGAGGCCUGGACGGACACACUGGGCAUGACUCGACCUCUUUUAUGACAGAAGACCAUUUGUACAGAAAACACCCGAAAUGUAACUUUUCCAUUUUUUUUUUUUUUAAAUCCUAUCAUUUUUAGGUUUUACGUUUCCCUUUGUUGUUGUUUUUUUUUUUUUCUUCCCCUCCACAUUUCCUGUCAAUGGAAGUGUAAUUUUUACUGUACUUUUUGGUACCUGUUUUGAUUCUAAUGUAUUGUAAGGCGUGUAUUUUACAUGUUUGCUGGCUUUACAGGUUGAAAAUCAUGGCGCUGUAAAGGAGCUUUUUUGACAAAUAAAAACCAUUUUCAGUAA